rnacentral:rRNA from 1 species
AGCGAACGCUGGCGGCAGGCCUAACACAUGCAAGUCGAACGGAUCCUUCGGGAUUAGUGGCGGACGGGUGAGUAACACGUGGGAACGUGCCCUUUGGUUCGGAACAACUCAGGGAAACUUGAGCUAAUACCGGAUGUGCCCUUCGGGGGAAAGAUUUAUCGCCAUUGGAGCGGCCCGCGUCUGAUUAGCUAGUUGUUGAGGUAACGGCCCACCAAGGCGCCGAUCAGUAGCUGGUCUGAGAGGAUGAUCAGCCACACUGGGACUGAGACACGGCCCAGAAUCCUACGGGAGGCAGCAGUGGGGAAUCUUGCGAAAUGGGCGAAAGCCUGAAGCAGCCAUGCCGCGUGAAUGAUGAAGGUCUUAGGAUUGUAAAAUUCUUUCAGCGGGGACGAUAAUGACGGUACCCGCAGAAGAAGCUCCGGCUAACUUCGUG